rnacentral:lncRNA from 1 species
GUGAAAAAGUAGGCAGUGGAAAAGUUCUGCUGAUUGUGCUGACCUGCACAAUGCCAGAUUCAUGUAAGCAAUCUUGAAAAUUUCCUGCAGUCAAAUACAUGACACCAAAGAAAAGAAUGCACAUACCUACUUUAUGUGACAAAAUUCCUUUGGCAGCAAUAUAUUUUCACAUGCUUGCCACUAACAAAAAUAGUUUGAAUUAUAAAUGUUCUCCUGGAAAAUCCACUGUUCCCAAUUUUCACACAACACUGAGUUACGAAAAAACAUUUUUUUUGCCAUUGCUGCUACCACAGGCCUGUGCUUCCACUGAUGUUUUUGAGAUCCAUACUCUUCAAAGUAUCAGUUCUAUCAUGAAGGAGAAUGAUGGGAGAAACAUCGACAUGCUAAAUUUGUGGGAGUAUGCUGAUUGCUGAAGCCUGACUGGAGCUAAUCCGCUUGGUGGCACCAGUCUGCAGUA